rnacentral:pre_miRNA from 1 species
GUAUUACUCCCUCCGUCCCCAAAUUCUUGUCUUACAUUUGUCUAAAUACGGAUGUAUCUAGUUACGUUUUAGUAUUAGAUACAUCCGUAUCUAGACAAAUCUAAGACAAGAAUUUUGGGAUGGAGGGAGUAUUUU